rnacentral:rRNA from 1 species
GAUUAACGCUGGCGGCGUGCCUAACACAUGCAAGUCGAGCGGCAGCGAGUUUUACACUGAAUUCUGGAAGCUUCUAGUUGAAAGAGAAGAUUUAUUCAAGAAUUUUGUGUAAAAUGUCGGCGAGCGGCGGACGGCUGAGUAACGCGUGGGAACGUACCCCAAAGUGAGGGAUAACGCAUCGAAAGGUGUGCUAAUACCGCAUAUGGUCUUCGGAUUAAAGCCUUCGGGCGCUUUGGGAACGGCCUGCGUAAGAUUAGAUAGUUGGUGGGGUAAUGGCCUACCAAGUCGACGAUCUUUAACUGGGUGGAGAGGAUGAUCAGUCAGACUGGAACUGAGACACGGUCCAGACUCCUACGGGAGGCAGCAGUGAGGAAUCUUCCACAAUGGGCGAAAGCCUGAUGGAGCAACGCCGCGUGCAGGAUGAAGGCCUUCGGGUUGUAAACUGCUUUUAUAAGUGAGGAUUAUGACAGUAACUUAUGAAUAAGAAUCGGCUAACUACGUG